rnacentral:lncRNA from 1 species
AUAUAUUUUUAAAAUGUUGCUACAAAUAUAGAUUUCCUAUAACUGAAGUCGCUAAUGCACAUUGUACUGAUCCUAGGCGUAUGUUAACAAGUGAUACUUGGGAUGUCAUUAAUGAUGUUGUUAAAUUUUUACAUAAAUUUUAUACUGCUACUGUUGUAUUUUCUGACGCAUAUUACCCAACUGUUACUAUGGCUUUAGUACAUAUAGUUGAAAUUUCUCUGCUACUAUAUGAAUUUAAGAAGA